UUUAACGUGUGUAUUGUACCUUGUUAAAAUUACAAAAAAAAAUGACGGGAAUUUUGUUGUCAACCUAAUACAUAACCUCACUUAUAUCGGAUAAUAUUUAUUACUUUUUAUUUCGUUUCUAUUUAAAAUGGAAAGUAGAGAAAUUUGAUGAAUGAACCUUCAUCAUUGAUGACGAUUUUUUGAAUGAUUUAAUUGAAACAAAUUCGAAAUUUACGGUUUAAGAAAUGGUUGAAAGAUUCAUUGUCCAUAAUUCAAUUGUUGUUUGACAUUUAAGUGACAUGAGAAAAAUGAAAAGUUUAGACAAAUGGGUUUCCUAUGAACUAAACGAGAAGAUUAAGUUGAGACGUUUAGAAAUGAAGAAUUCUUUACUUUUCUGACAUAAAUUUGAUGGAAUCCUGCAAAGAAUAGUGCAAUGAAAAGUGGAUUUCCUUCUACAAUCGUCGACCAUUUUGGGUUAGUGGUUGAAUACAAAUAAAUAACCUCAACAUAUGCCAUAGUCAAAUCUUCAUCAAAAGAAGAUUAUGGUGUCUGUAUGGUAGUCAAGUAAGAGGAUUUUGUAUUAUUCGUUCAAUAAACUAGGUUAGGUGUUGAAUACUAUUAGGAAUUUGAAUUUGAUUGUACGAAAAUGAAACAGUCAUCAGCUCGUAUUAGUAAAUAAACGCGAAUUGUUGUUAAUUUGCGAUAAUCACAUUCCACGACGAAACAAAAAUAACUUGAGUUAAACGUUGAAAUUCUCUUUAAUCGUCUGACCUGUUUCGUCUGAUCUUUCAGCAACGGAUUAUCAUCUUUUCAAGCACCUGGAUGGAAUUUUACUUGGGAAAAAUGUUGGAUCGACGAAAGACUUCUCUCCUAUGUUGAGGAAGGGAUAAGGGCGUAGUGACGACACCCGUUGUACCACCUCCUCUUCUUGAACCAAGCCAUGACCAGACGUUGUGUCCUAAAUAAAAAUAAGGAAAAACAACUAUCAAAAAAUGGAUCAAAUGAUAAGAUUCACUACUCACCAGGACUAGGAGCAACAUCGUGAUAAGGGGGUAACUUAUCAA